rnacentral:lncRNA from 1 species
UUGAGGUGUACACACACAGUUACACUUCAUGGAGUUGCAUCCAGCCAAGUAUCCAUGUUCUUCUUGUGAAGAGGCAGAGAAAAUCACCUCUCCCAAGAAUUUCCACCUUCUGACCAAGGGAAAUGUGUCCUGAAGAGCUGUACGCAGAUGGGAGGCAACUUGUUUGCUUGUUCUGCUGCUAGAGCAUUGAUUUAAUUAGAAGACAGGCUGUGGGUGGCCAUGUGCAGACAAAGAAGCACCAGACAGAGCCCAGUUAGCCUGGGACAGUAAAAGUAAGUUACGCUCUUUUAAAACACUUUUUUUUUUUUUUUUGAGUACUGAUGCUGAUUCUUGCCUUUAGUACUGAGGGGCAACUUGUAACUUACUGAUUGUGUUUACACAUUAGGUACAUCUGUUCUUUUUCUAAGACCCUAGAGAUAAAAUGUGCUUUCUAGCACUGAGUACCUGCUUUAGUGGAAAAGCAGUGAUCCCCACCCCCAAUUUUUUUUUUUUUUUUAAGAAUAAAAAGGAAACUCAAUCAUUACAUUUUUAGAUUAAUUUUACACUGCACAAAAAGCCUGUAUUAGUUUCUGACCAAGUGAAAAUAUGUUAAGUGCAGAGUUUGUCAUGUUUAUUUUGUUCUGAUGGGAACAUGAAGACUUGUUUUAGCCUUUUCCAGCCAUUUCUUGAUGAGCAGUGUUGACCUCAUCAAAUAUAUUCAUCUUGACUAAAUUUGGUAGGAGAGUUGGUCUAAGAUUAGACUUAGCAAUUCCUGCAGACUAUGUAGCUUUAUGUGUGAGCCUUUAUUUUUCUUUGGGAGUUGUUAUUUUAUAUAUAUAUAUGUAAAAUAUAUUAUAUAUAUAUUUUACAUAUAUAUAUAAAUAUAUAUGAUAGUAUGAUAGAGUUAGUAGUUUUUUGACUUUGUUGUAAUAUUCAGAACUUUGGUCUUCAGAGUAGAAAAUAUCUAAUAAUCUUCAGUUCAUAGGAAUGUUACAUAAAAGGGAUUUAAUUAGAUUUAGUGUUUUUAGAAUUUAUAGUGUUGUGAUUUUGGAGUCAUUAUGUGUGUGUGUGUUUUGUGUGUAUUUGGAUCUAUAUCAUUUGAGGCAUCAAUUUUAUAGUCUAACAAUGAUUUUAUUGUUGUUUUUGUUUUUUGUUCUUGAUAGUGAAAGGAGCUAGGCUAAGAUUGAGUGUAGCAAAACCAAAGGCUGAUACUAAGAUACUUAAUGUGAAAGGCCUCCUUUUGAUUUUAAAUUUUUGUGCUUCUCUCAAACCCAGGCCUUUAUUCAGAAUCUGGAAGAAAAUGAAGAAGAAUCUUAAGCUAUAUAAUUUUUAAGAAUACCAUCAAAAUCAUAUUCUAAAUCUUGCUUUAAAAUAGAGCAAAACAUUACUUAAAUUUUUUUCAUUGUUUGUGCGUGUACAUCUGUCUCUCUCUUUUAUGUGUAUAGCAGACUUUACCUAAGUGUUAGAGUAAUGAUGAAUUGUAGAUCACUUUAGGAAACAGCUAGCCAGGCAGGGUGGUGCACACCUUUAAUCCCAACCACUCAGGAGGCUGAGGCAAGAGGAUUAAAAGUUUAAGGCCAGCCUGUGCAUUUUAGCAAGAUCAUGUCUCAAAAUAAAAGUAAACUGGAGAUAUCGCUCAAUGGAAAGUACCCCUGGGUUCAAUCCUCAGUACUGAGGGUUGGGGAGGGGGGAAUCUUAAAAUUUAGUUUUAGACAUCCCAGUUCACAAAAAGUCUUUGCCUAUUCACAUUGCCAGAUAAUUUUUUUAUUCAUUAUUUAUUGUUUUUAGUUUGGUAAAAUAUAUGCAACAAAAAUUUUAUAGUUUCAACCAUUUUUAAGUGUACAUUUCAGUAGCAUUAAAUGCAUUCAUAAUGUUACACAACCAUCACUGCUGUGUAUGUUCAGAACCUUUUCAUCAUCUCAAGCAGAAACUGUACCAACUAAACAACUUUUGCCAGGGAGGUUUUUACUGACUGAUCACUCCCACUAAGUGUCCAGAAUCUGGCAUUGUGUAUACAUUUCUUGACAGUUCAUGUCAUGCUGUGUAUACCUUAGCACAGGGCAUCAACAGUGUAACACAUUAAGCUUCCCAGAAAAUUCAGAGUGGGAAACACAUUUGUUUUCCUCUCCUGGAAUAUAUGCAGAUGUUAACAACAUUUUUUAGUGGAUUUGAAGUCUUUUUAAUAAGAAGGAGCAUAUUUAGUAGAGAAUUUGAAGGUUGGUAAUAGCCACCCCCCCUCCAAUUCUGACCCUGUCAUAUGAUAGAAGGAUGGUUUAAAUUAUUGUAAUUCCAUGAUCUGUUAGGUUCUUUUUGAGUGAUAUUUCCAUAUUAUUGUCAGCAUGGUUAAAAGGUGUAAUUAUUUAGGUUUAAGGGAAGUAUAAGUGGCUGCCAAAUUUGGCAAUAUUGAAGAAACAGCUACAUUUGUCUUUUCUAUUGUAGCUCAUGUGGAAAGGACAAUUUCAGGUACUGUGUAUGCUAACUUCUUCCUGGACAUCAGAAGGAAUCCAACUAAAACAAAUUUUAAAACUAUUUCAGAUGUGCAAGUCUCUUGAAGCCAAUAUUUUAUUUUAGAGGUUUGUGUUAUGUUUGACAAGCAACUCUGUACCGCAAUUCUAUGACUUUCAAUUAAAAAAGUGAAAAAGAAACUGCUGUGAUGUCGUUUUUCUGCUUAAUUAUGUUACAUUCAUUUGUAAAAUUAGGCAGAUUAAUAAGUGAGUAUAAAUGUGCAGUGCUUUUUGCAAAAAAUAUUUUAAAUAAGAUUAAUGGUUCCAUUUUUUGACAAAAUAUUUUAUGCUAUGCUAGAUCAACAAAUGCUGUAAUGAGCAGAUAUCAACAUUUGUUUAUUUAUUUUUUUCUUCUGACAUUUCCAGAAGAUCUAAGAAAAACAUGGAAGGGCUUUCUUAGUACAUAUAUUGUUGUGUGAGAUCAUAUUAAAAAUAUACUUUUAAGAAAUAAAGUAUAUUGUUUUUUGUAUAAUUUGAGCAGUUAAAAAAUGAACUGUCACAGAUACUAAAACUUGGUUCAACAUACUAUAUUUGACUCAAGUGUUCAUAGACUGUGAUACAAACAAAUGUUCUCUCCACUUACAUUCAGGAUAACUAAAAUAUUACUUUAACACAUGUUAAAAGUAGAACACUGUAACUAUUUGGCUAGAUAUAAUUCCAGGCUGUCUAUGUUGAGUAAUUUCCUCAGGCAUUCCAACUUUGAUCAACCACAGCAAGAACUUUUAGCAUGUCUGUAAAGCAGCCAGUGCAUCUGUAAAUAUGUCCUGAGGAAGAGAGAAAAGAGGGAAUGCCAAAAAAGAAAGAAUACUUUGUGUCGUUAAGGAGCAGUUACAGAAUGAAAAUGGAAAGUAUUUUAUUUCCUUAGAAACCCUUUUUAGAUAAUUGAACCUCUGAUUUCUAAGUAUGCCCUGUAGUUCUGUAUUAAUGAAUGAAAGAUACUUCAUUUGGGCCCAAUAAAAAUAUUUUCUGACUAACUCUGCUGAAACUUAUUAAAGUACAUUGAUUCUUGAACUUUCUACUCUUUAUAAAUGUAAGAAUUGAAUAAAACCCAAAUGUAAUUAAUAGUAUGUGUUUCAGUAAAGUGUGUUUUAAUGUUUAUAAUUGUUCAGUAUUUGGGUGAAAAUGUUUACAUAUGGCUGAGUUUUCAAGAAUAACUCUAAGAACAGGCAGUACUACUGAAGAAACUUUUUUUUUUUUUCAACACAUGGAUGAAUGUAGAUUUUUUUGAUUUUUAUUUUCAGUGACCUAAAAAUAAAUGUGCAAAUAGCUACUGGUUUCCAUAUGUAAACAUGGACUUAAGAAUAUUAAUAAUGGUAAAUCACCCUCUCCUGUAUGAGAAGUACAUAUUUUCUGUAUUUUUGGAUAUAACUUGCUCAUAUCAUGGAUAUAACUUCCUGGAGAUAUUUUAAGAUACAGUUAACAAUUACUUGCAAACUGGAUAUUCAAUUGGAUGAUCUAUCUAGCUUUUUACUAUGUUAACAACAGAUACUAUUACCUCUAAUGAAUUAGUUCCAGUUCUGAAAAUUCUGCUUUAUAGAACCAAAAUUUAGGAGAAAUUCCUAAUCGUCUUUGGCUUUCAUGUUGUGAUCUCAGUUAUUGUCCAUAUUCUUUAAUUAUUUAUUCCUGAGGAAUAAGGUUAACACAGUUAAAUAAAAUUUACUAAUAAAAAACAUUUGCCAUAAUUUCAUUGAAAGUUUAUUCAGAACAGAACAAAUGGCACUGUAACUGGUAGAUUUAUAUCUUUCAAGUCCUUCUCCUGUAUCUUAAAAGAAGUGUAGAGAAAUGAUGAAUGGAAAAGCUGGGAGAGAAGAUAGAGGGGCAGGUUCAUUAAUUGUGGUGUUCAUGGAUGGGUGCUUGAAUAGAUGUCUGAGUUGGUUACUGUAUUAGUUUUAUGUCAUUAUAGCAAAAUACUUGAGGCAGAUAACUUUAUCAAAAAUUUAUUAAGUUCACAGUCUUCAAGGUUCAAUGGCAUGGCACCUUCAUUGGCUCAGUUCCUGGUGAAUAGUAGGUGGCAGUAGUAGGAAUGCCUUUUGGAUCAAGUGAUCAUAUCUCAAGCCAGGAAGGAGGGAGAGCUGGGAGUAGCCGAACCCCAAUUUUUAAAGCGACCUUCCCAGAGAAGUCCUGUGGGAACUCUCUUCUGAGGUAAUACCACCAAUGACCUAAGGAUCUCCUCCCAGGCCCUACCUCCAAAGGUUUCAUUACCUACCUUCCUGUAGUAUCACCCUGCAAACUAAGCCUUCAAUCAUAAUAGACCCUUGGGGAACACUUAAACCACAUCCUGACUACAGCAGUUACCUUGUUAGUGUUUCUGUGUUUACCUGAGAAUUUUUCUUCAAAUAUUGUUCAUCUGAAUGCCAUAGUUUAUUCAAAAUAUAUUACUUAUUUAUCUUUUCUGCCUACUACCUUGGUUUUAAAGUCUCUAAAGUACACAGGGAGAACAUAAGAGCCAACUUUUGCCUUUCUGGUGGCUGGUUCUCUAAUUUAUAGAUAUGUAUUUUUAAAUAAUUAUUUUACCUUAUUAUUUCUUUGCCAUUUUUUUGCAUGCUACCAUGCUCUUCCUUUAUGUAUGUAUUCUUGUGUUUAUUUAUUUGCUAUUAGUUUCAAAGAACAUCAUGUUUUAUUGGUUAUCUUGAUGAAGACAGUCACAAGUUGUAGAGGAAAGUUGUCUUACAUUAAUGGCAUUUGAGAAAAAAAUACCAUUAUAUUUUGUCAGUCUUUUCCUGUAGAUUUUGGGUAGUAGAUUUUGGGUAGAAAGCCCAUUUGACUCAUUUUGAAGAGGCAGAGAAAGUAUUAUAGAUUCUGUUUAUUGUAGUCAGAAGAUAUGUGACAUUUCUGACCAUUAACCUGGUUCUUCUUAGUAAAGCUUAAUUAACAUGGUAUUUAGAUUGCAACACAGAUGAAAUGACUUACUUCCCUCUUUUCUAUUUUUUUAGGUAGUUAUAUAUAUUCAAUGUUUGAAAUAUUCAAGUAAGCAUGAUAAUGAAACCAUGAUCUAUUGUUACAAGUGGCAUUUGUGUGAAAGAACUGUUUUGUCCAAAAUCUGCAUUGCAUGGAGAAUUUAGAAUUUACCUGAGCAAAAAGCUCAGAUUUUGCAUUGCAGAAGCUUGAGACCUCCUUAACCUUUACAAAAAGAUGUAGGCCAGAGGUUGCAAAGAGACAAUUCACAGAUGUGUGUGAAUUGGCCCAUAUACUAGUUUUUAAAAGUUGGAAUUUAUUGUCAUCCUUUAGUAUUCAAGAGACAUAAAAAUAUGGAUUUCUGAUUAAAAAAAAAAAAAAAAAGAUCUGGCCACAUGGAACAUGCAUUCUUUUAGGGCUGCAGUUUGCCAGGGCUGAGUGACAGCUGGCCCUUCAGUGUAGGAGUUUUUGAGUAUAACUUAACACUGUAUUUCAGUUUAGGUAUGACUGAAAAUAAGUCUUGGACAGAGAUGCCAACUUUUGCAAUCUUGUGAGGGCCAAGAAAAUGAGUUGAUGGCUUAACUGACAUUAGUUUAAUGCUCUGGAGGUUGCAAAUUGUUGUAACAGAGACUUCUAUUUUUUUCCCUGCUCCGGUGCUGAGGUAGCGAACCUAGGGCCUUGUGCUUACUAGGCAAGUACUCUACCACUGAGCCACAUUCCCAGUUAUUAAUAGGGAUUUCUACCAGAACGUAAAACUGUAAUAAGUUUUGAUGUAAUUUUUUUAAAGUAGGAAUUGGGUAUUAGUGUUACUUUAUUAUUUUAUUAUAUAGAAUUAUAAUAUUAUAUAGAAUUUCAGGUGAAACUAAAAGACUUUUCAAAAAAUUUCUUAUUGGAGCAGUUGAACCAAUACUAAAGCAGAUCAAAAUACCUUCUGACCCAAGUUAAGUUUGGACCUUUAAUUUCCUAAAUUGUUCCUUUGUUUACUUCUAGUCCCAGGAGUAAACUACUAUUUUCAGUGUUUAUGGUGAAGAACAUACCAUAAGUCCAACCAUGUUGCAUUGAUCUCCAAACUUUUGCUAACCUCCUUAAUGAUAGUUAACUUCCAACAUCAUUUAUUUUAUCUUGAUUCCAUUAUUAUUCCUCCUCCUCCUCCUCCUCCUCCUCCUCCUCCUCCUUCUUCUUCUUCUUUUUGGUGAUACUGGGGAUUGAACCCAGGUCCUUGUGCAUAUUAGGCAAAUGCUCUACCACUGAGAUACAUCUUCACUUGUCUAUUAUUUCUUAAUGGAAAACAUACUAAUAAAAAUCAUUGAGUUGCAUAUAAUAUUUAUAUAAUGGUGGUGCGCACCUGUAAUCCCAAUAACUCAAGAGGCUGAGACAAGAGGAUUGCAAGUUUGAGGCUAGUCUCAACAACUUAGCCAGACCCUGAGCAACUUAGUGACACCCUGUCUAAAAAUAAAAAAUAAAAACGGAUAUAGGUCAGUGGUAAAGUGUCCCUGGGUUCAAUCCCCAGCACCAAGAUACCAAAAACCAGAAACCCCCCCCCCCCAAACAACAACAACAAAAAAACUCCCAACAACCCCAAAUCUAAAACCAAAAAAGUCUGAUAAGGCAUCUCUGAUGAUUGCCCAGAAGCUUGCUAUGUCCAUUUACCAGUGACUCCCAUUUUACUUAUGUUUUUCCAACCCUUCUAAUUUUUUUUCCGCUGAAAGGUGAAUCCUGGUUUCAGAGCACUUAGCUUUUAUAUUUUCUCAUAGCUCAUUUGUAGCUUUUUAUCCCUGUCACUGUCCUGAUGCUAAUAGAUACCUUUACAAGCUUUCUCAAGAUGUGGUUUGUGGAGAAAGUGAAAUUAAACAGCUUGUGGAGUUCAUUUAAAUUUGGAGUUUCUCAAGAGGAGGAGCCUGGGCCAGCAGAAUCAUAAUCAUUUGUGGUAACUUAUUGGCAAAAAAAAAAAAAAAAGAAUAUCCUUUAGUUUCAACUCACAUUACCGAAAUCAGAAUAUUUAGGGAUAUGAGAAUGGGAAUUUUCAUUAUUAUUUUUUAAAUUUUGAGUUAAUUAUAAAUACCUGCAGUCAUAAGAACUAAUACAGAAAUUCUUUGGACCCACAGCAGUAAUAGUCUUUAAGAAAUUUGCAUGUUAAAAAUUUUACAUUAUAUUUUCAAAAGUUUUUGAGCAUAGCAUACAUACAGAAAAAUAUAAUGCCUUUUUUAUAAGUGGACAGACCCAUGAGUUUUUCAGAGUGAACAUAGCCCUGUGUCAGCAGCAUCCCAGAUCAGGAAACAGAACAUUUCUGCUCUGUAAAAGAUCCCUUGUUCCCUCUUCCAGUCACCCCAGGUAAGAACAGUGUUCUUACCUCUAUUCCUAUAUGUUAAUAUUGCCUGUUCUAGAAUUUCACAUAAAUGAAAUCAUACAGCAUGUAUUCUUUUGUUUCUGCUUUGUUAAAUUGAGGUAAAGAUCACAAAGCACAAAAAUAACUAUUUUAAAAUAAAUAAUUCAGUGAUUUAAAAAUUUCAUUGUUAUAAAACCACCAUCUCUCUCAUUCCAAAUAUUCUCAUUUCCUUAAAGGAAUUCUCAUAACUAUUAAGCAGUUCCUCUCUGUUGCCCUCUUUUCUUUUUUUUUUUUUUUGAAAUCAAAUUAAAUCAAGAUUGUAUUGUGUACACAAAAGCUGGCCAGAACUGUCUCUUACAAAACUCCAUGCUAGAGAUCACCCCCUGAUCUUCAGGAAAAAGUUUUCACAGCACAAAAUGUUACAAAGAAGGUGGGUGUCUCGGGUACUAUACAGCUAACAAGAUUUUGACAAGCAUAAAACAAAGGCAGAUAGCAGGUUAAGGAUCUACAUGUCUCAACAUUUCAAGGUAGGGAAUAAAUUCAAUUCCAGACAUUAGAAUUUAUGAGCUGCCACUGAGAUUUAGAGAGAGUUAUUAUUUGGUCAGUGGGAACCAGGACUUAUGAGGCACCAGUAAGGUUUUAGAGAGGGUUGUUAUCUGGUCAGGGAUAGCCAGGCAUAGGUGAAUUCAAAGCACAGGUAGAUAUUCCAAACAAGUUUAAAACAUCAAAAUAUUGUCAGGCCAAAGAGAAAUUUUAGUUUUCUUACAGAAAACAAAAAAUAAACUUUUUAUAGCUUUUUGACAAGAUGUCUCCCAAUCUUAUACUGGAAUUAUGCUGGGUUCAUGAUUAAUACUGUGUUGCCCUCUUUUCUACCUCCUGGCAAUCCCAUUCUGCUUUUUAUCUUGAUGGAUUUACCUAUUCUGGAUAUUUUAUAUAAAUGCAAUCAUACAUUUUGUAUGACCCCCCCCCUUUUUAACUUAGCAUAGUGUUUUUGAGGGUGAAGCACAUUUUAACAUGCAUUAGCACUUUUUUUUUUUGAGGAGUAUUCAGCAUUACUUAUGUGUAUAUGUUUAUCCAUUCAUCCAUUGAUGAACAUUUGGGUUAUUUCCACAUUUUGGCUAUUGUGAACAAUAUUGCUAAUGAGUGAUCUUGUACAAGUAUUUAAACACUUGUUUUCAAUUCUUUUGGGGAUAUACCUAUAGGUAGAAUUGCUGGUAAUUUUAUGCUUAGCUUUGUGGAAGCACCACAUCAACUGAAUGAACCAUUUUACAUUCCCAGCAAUAAUGUGCAAGGAUUAUAAUUUCUGUAUAUGCUUGCCAACCUUAUUAUUAAUUUCUAUUUUGUCCUUAGGCCAUCCUUGUGGGUAUGAAGUGGUAUCUCAUUGUGGUUUUGAUUUUCAUUUCCCCAAUGUUAAUGAUGUUGAAUAUUUUUAUAGGCUUGUUGGCCAUUUGUAUAUCUUCUUUGAGUAAAUGUAUGUUCAUCUCUAAUCUGUUGCCUAUUUUUAAAAUUGGGGUUUAAAAAAAAAUUUGGAUGUUGAAAGUUAUAGGAACUCUUUAUAUAUUCUGGAUACUAGACUUUCUGGAUAUUACACUUUUAUUUAUUUAUUUAUUAAAUCUGAAAUUAAAACAAAAGUAAAAAAUUAUAAAACACUUGUAGUCUUUUUCUUCUCUUUUUAGCCCUCUGACUUUGUCUGGUUUAUGUUUCAUCAUCAUGUUUUCUGCUGUCUAAUAUGGCAUCUAAAGCACAGUCAGUCUUCAUAUCCAUGAGUUCUGCAUCAUCAGAUUCAACCAAUUGCAAAUUAAAGAUACAACAAAAAAUUGUAUCUGUACUGAACAUGUAUAGAUUUUUUUCUCUUUUCAUUCCCUAAAUAAUAGAGUGUAACAACUAUUUACAUAGCAAUUACAUUGUAUUUGGUAUUGUAGGUCAUCUAGAGAUGAUUUGAAAUAUAUGGGAGGAUGUGCAUAGAUUAUAUGCAAAUGACGGACCAUUUCAUAGAAGGAACUUAAGCGCACAUGGAUUUAGAUGUGGGGGGAUGUACUAAAACCAGUUAUCCUUGGGUACCACUGGACAUCUGUAUUUAAUUUUCUUCCCUUCUUCCCCUUCCCCUUCCCCUUCCCCUUCCCCUUCUCCCUCUCCUUCCCCUUCUCCCUCUCCUUCCCCUUCUCCCUCUCCUUCCCCUUCUCCCUCUCCUUCUUCCUCUCCUUCUCCUUCUUCCUCUCCUUCUCCUUCUCCUUCUCCUUCUCCUUCUCCUUCUCCUUCUUCGCUGGGAUCAAACCAGUGAGCUGUAUCCCCAGCCUCUGUAUUGAAUUCUUUAUUAUCUGUCUGCCUUAGCUAGAAUUGAGGCUCCAUCUAGGCAAGGAUUUUUUUUUUCCUUCCUGUUUUGUUAACUGUUGUAUCCUCAUGAUUUAGAUCAAGGUUUGGCAAAGUGUGAUCAGAAACCUAAACAGAACUUCUGCCUAUUUUUGAAUGGCUCAUAAACUACUAAUGGUUUUUAUUUUUUAAAAUAAUUGAAACAAAAUAAAAAAGAAGACCAAUAUUAAAUUUCAGUGUCCAAAUUAGAGUUUUAGUUGAACACAGCCAUACCCAAUCAUUGGUGUAUUAUCUCUGGCUGCUUUUUUCCCGUAGUCACAAAGUUGAGUGGCUGUGUGAUUCACAAAGCCUGAGUUAUUUAAUGUAUGCGACCCCUUAUAGAAAAGAUUUGCCUGCACAUAGGUGCUCAAUAAAUAUUUGUUGAGUGAAUGAAUCUUAAUCUGUACUGCUAUAAGGAAUUUAAUUUGGGAAACUUUAAACCACAUAAUUCUUGAACCUAAUAGAGUAUUCUUCUUCUUCUUUUCUUUUUUUUUUUUUUCCUCUCAGGCCAAUGCAUAUGCUUACACAAAUAUUUUACCACUGAACUACUUCCCUAGUCUGUUUCUCUUAUGUAAAAAUAUUUCAAUAAAGUUUGUUUCAAAGACUAUCUUUCCCCUUUCUCAUCAUUUCUGAUGCUGAUUUUCAGUGGAGGUCAUAAUUAAAAUAAUUUUGAUAACAUACUUAGUUUUGAGAAAGAAGCCAUGUUAUCAUAAAUUUUUCUAUAUUUUAUUCAUUUAAUGAUGUGUUUGUUGAAGUUACACUUGAGUGACAGGGUAUGAACAGGAACAUAUUAGUAAUUUCCUGUUAAUGUCUAACUCUCUUUAAUGGAAAAUUGGAAAUUGGACAAACAAAUCAUUUUAUGUAAAAAUGACUUUAUAAUGUGCCAGUCUAAUUUUUGUACAACAUUUGAAAACUAAAUUGUUUGCAUCUGUAAGAGCUGUUAAUAGAGGUUACAUAAUAGAUCCCCAGAGGUACAGUAUACUCUGUAGCUUUGCAAAAAGUUCUUAUUUUGUUUUAUGCUUUCAGCAAAGGACAUUAAAUGGGUAAUACAGGUUGUGGGUUUAUAGUAAAAGAGUAAUGCUUUACAGAUCUUUGCCUUGGCAUGGUGUUCCCAAAUUUUAUUAAUAGGAAAGUGUUUCCAUGUCAUGGUGGGAGAGUGAUUCCUGACUUGCCUCUUGGUCUUCCCUUCCUCUCCUUGGUAGAUUAGUCAGUCAAAGGGAUCUUAUUUUUUAAAAGCUUGUCUCCUUUAACAGUUAUGAGUAAGCUUAAAAUAUAUUUUACUUUUAAAAUGCCAUCUUUUAGAAACUUAAAACGCUAUGGCAUGAAUUUAUUUCAUUUCUCUUGUUUUGAUCAAGAGAAGAUUAAAUUGUUAACAUUCCUUUGUAUUUUCCUGGCAUUUCUCUGUAGGAGUAUCCUGUAAGAAUUAGUAAGUAUCAUUUGCUUUUGGGGUUUUAGUUCACAAUAAUAAAUAAUUCUAUUUGUACCUAAUUGUGAUUAACUUUUAUUCAAUUAUUCUGCAAAUAUUUCUUGAGUAUCUACCAGGUGCCAAGCAUUGCUUUAGACAUUGACAUGCAAUAUCUCAAAAAACAUAUUCGUGAGUUUAUGGAUCUCAUAUCCUAUGAGGAGGAUUAGAAAAACAAAAAUUAUAAUAUCAGGAAAUGCACCAAGAACAGUGUGAUUCCUGUGUAGUAUGGGAGAAGAAUAGGUGGGGAGUAAGUUGGGAGAGGGAGAGAGAAGUCAGAUUGUGGAACGCUGUAAACCUUAGAAAUUUGGACAUCAGGUUUUAUUCUAAGUCUGAUAGAACAUCAACAUAGAGUUUGAAUAGCAGUGUAAUAAUGUCUGACAGAUUUUAAAAGGAUCACUGGCUACAUACUAAUUCUAUAUAAUGUCACAUGAGAAAAUCAACAAAUGACUAUUUAAAAAAGUUUAUGUCUAUUAUUUAUAAGGGGAAAGUUACUAUAUAGGGUGAUUCAUUUAUGUCAAGUAUUGGUAUGCUACUUUUUUAUCAGCUUCAUUGAAGUUUAAUUUUUUUUCUCCUUGCAGUACUGAGGAUUGAACCAGGGCCUCCUCAAUACUAGGCCAUGCCCUACAUCCCCACCCCUUUUUAUUUUACUUUGAGUUGAUCUCACUAAGUUGCCCAGGCUGGCCUUAAUCUUGGAAUCCUCCUGCUUUGGCCUCCUGAGUUUGCUGAGAUUAUAGGUGUGUUCCAUCAUGCCUGGCUUGAAGGUAUAAUUUAUAGCAAUUUACCAAUUUUAGGUAUACAAUUUGAUAAGUUUUUACAAAUGUAUAUAAUCAUAUAAUCACCAAUACAAUCAUAAUAUUUAAUAUUUUCAUCAACACAGAAAUUUUGUUGUACUUGUCUACAGUGUUCUCCCCUUAGCAACCAUUUGGCAACCACUGUCUGCUUUUUUAUCACUGUCAGUCAGCUUUUUUCUAGAUUUUGUUACAGAUAGAAUCAUAUAAUUUGUGGUCUUUUAUGUCUGGCUUCUUUUACUUAGAACAAUGCUUUUGAGAUUCCUCCAUAUUUUGAGGCAUAUUAGAAAUUGUUCCAUUUUUUUGCUCAGUAGUAUUCAAUUGUUUUAAAAUAUCCCAUUUUUUUAAUGCAUUUACUGGUUAAUGGAGUUUGGGUUGUUCCAGUUUUUGUAUGUUAUGAAUAAAGCUGAAAUGAAUAUUUAAAUACAGGUGUUAAUGUAGACAUAUGCUUUCAUUUCUCUUGGAUAAAUACUUAGGAGUGGAGUUGCUGAGCCUAUAGUAAAUGCAUGUUUAACUUUAACAAAAAUGGCUAAACUGCAUUUGUAUUCCCAUUAGCAAUGUAUAACAGUCAAGUUGCUCCAUAUUCUUGCUAAUACUCAAUAUGGUCCGUUUCUUUAACUUUAGCCAUUUUAGUGCUUAUAGAGUGAUAUCUGGUGGUUUUAAUUUGCAUUUCCCUAAUGUCUGUUAAAAAGAUUAUGAUUAUGAUUAUGAUUAUGAUGAUUAAGAUGAUAAGGUAGACUUUAUUUAAGGGGGAACUUUAUUACAAUGGAUAUAGGUCUAUUGCUGUAGAAUUUUGCACUGAGGGACAGAAAUUAACUUUGAAUUCAGCAUGGGCAUGUGGGAAUUGAUAGCCAAAGAGCAGAGUUGGGGUCAGUGGAUGGAAAAUUACCAACAGGAAACAUAAGGGACAGGGCAGAUUCUAGCUAACCCAACAUAAUGGGAUUCUUGCUGGAGGCUUUCAUUUUAAAGGCCUCAUGAAGCUUGUUGUUACCUUCUUCAUUUCAUAGUGGGCUAUUUCCUUUUGAAUGCUCACAGUAUUUAUUGUUUGUAUCACUCAUUUUCUAUUUGUUAUUUUCUAUUCUGUAAUCUCAUUUUGAUUCCUGCUUUCAAAUCUCUGACCCCUUUGCUUAAGUUAUAUUGGAAAUGGUCUUAAUGUCAUGGUCACUUUUUCUUGGAUCUGACAGAAAUUCAGGAAACGGGAUGUUUGUAGAUGAUUGUGAAUAUUUGGUAGUAUUUGGUAAUCUUUUAAGUUAAUCCAAAAUUUCCUGGUUUUGUAGAUUAUGUUGGUCUCACCUUAGAAUGGACCCAGUUUUCUGGAUUACUUCCAAGUUUUUGGAAUGUGAGAUAGUGUUUUGCAUAUUAAACAUAUUACUUGUUAUUUUGGAACAGACUCUAUGUCUGUUCAGUGCCCUAAGGAGUGUUCAAUCCAAACUUAACUAUCUUUCUUUUCUAAAGAUUGAAUCUUAGAAUGAAUGUCUCUAAGACAUUUAUUUUUAUUGUAAUAUUUUACAUUAGCUUUUUCCCACUCUUCUCUGGUUGAAGAUCAAGUAUGACAUGGUCUUGAGCGACAUGACUUGGUAUAUAUUUUUUAGAACUAUUCACAGUAUUGGAACAAAAAAGUAGUGUUUUUCGUUAGACUUCAUAUAAGUUGCUGACCUCUAAUUCCAGGCCUUUUUGUUCUGUUCAACAUAUUGCCUUAUUCUUUUCUUCUUUAUAAUUUUUUAAAAAUUCGGAAUUUGCCCUCUUUUAGUAUACAGUUCAAUUGUUUAAUGUAAAUUUUCAAAGUUUUAUAACCAUCAUCACUAUCUAGUUGAUUUAUUUUCACCAUGUCCAAAUGAAAUAUUGUACCCAUUAGCAGUUAUUCUCCAUUCCUCCUUCUCUCCAGUCCCUGGUCACCAUUAAUCUACAUUAUAAAUUUGUCUAUUCUGAACAUUUCAUUUAAAUGGAAUAAUCUAAUACAUGGGUUGUUUUGUCUGGCAUCUAUCACUUGGCAUAAUCUUUGUAAGGUUCUUCCAUAUUGUAUCAUGCAUCAUUACGUUUUAGUGCUAAUUAAUACUCCGUUGUAUAGAUACAUCAUGUUUUGUUUCUUCAUUUAUCAAUUAAUGAACAUUUUUUGAGUUGUUUUCAGGUUUCGUUUAUUAUAAUAUUUAACUGCUUUAAAUAUCCAUGUAUUUGUUUUGGGUAGAAAUGUUUUCAUUUCUCUUGGGUAUACAUGCAAUUGCUGGGUCAAAUAGUAACUCUGUGUUUAACUUUGUGAGGAGCUGCAAGAUGUUUUCCAAAUUGACUGCAUCAUUUUACAUUCCCCUCAGCAGUAUACGAGGAUUGUCAUUUCUCUACAUCCUUGCCUCCAUGUGUUAUUAUCUGUCUAGUUAUAGUUGUUCUUUUGGGUAUGAAGUAGUAUUUAAUUGUGGUUUUAUUUGCCUUUUUAUGAAGACAAAUGACAUUGAAUGUCUUUUUAUGUGCUUACUGGUUAUUUAUAUAUCACCUUUGGAGAAAUGUUAAUUGAUAUCCUUUGUACAUUUUAAUAUUGUUUUCUUUAUUUUAGUGUGACAAGGAUUUGUUAUACAUUCUGAAUACAAGUCACUGAUUGGAUAUAUGACUUGUAAAUUUUUUUCCCAUUUUGUCAAUUUUUAUAACUUCCUUUGAAACACAAACAAUUUUAAUUUUGAUGAAAUUCCAUUUAUCUAGUUUUUUCUUUGGUUGCAUGUACUUUUGAUUACAUAUCUAAGAAACUAUUGCCUAAUUCAAGGUCACUAACACUUGUCCUUAAGUUUUCCUCUAAGAAUUUUAGAGUUUUAGCUCUUAAUUUUUGACUUUUGAUCCACUUUAGGUUAAUUUUUGUGUAUGGUCAGAGUUAGAGGUCCAACUUCAUUUUCUUAUAUAUAGAUAACUAGUUGUACCAGCACCCUUUAUUUAAAUGACUAUUUCUUUUUUUAUUGAGUUGUUUUUUCAUUCUUAUUGAAUUAGCCAUAAAUGAAGGGCUUAUUUGUGGAUUGUCAAUUCAAUUGCAUUGGUCUAAAUGUCUACCUAUCACUGAUUACUAUAAGUUAUAAACCUAGAAGUGUGAAACAGAUCUGUCCUUUUCAAGAUAAUUUUAGCAAUUCUUGGUUCCUUGUAUUUCUAUAUGAAUUUUAAGAUUAGCUUGUCAAUUUCUGCAAAAAUGGCACCUAGGAUUUGAUAAGCAAUUGUGUUGAAUUAAAUCAAUUUAAAGAGUAUUGUCAUUGUAGCAAUAAUAAAUCCUCUGCUCCAUGUACAUUGGAUGUACUUCUAUUUAGGUAUUAAAUUUUGUUGACAUGUUUUAGAGUCAUGUUUUAUAAUUUUUAUGCUGCAUAAAAUUAUACUACUUUUGUUAAUUUAUUCUCAACUAUUUUAUAGUUUUUUAUGUUGUAAAUUGAUUCUUAAUUUUAUUUUUGGAUUGGUCAUUGCUACCAUAUAAAAGUCAAUUUGAGUUUUGUAUAAAUUGAUUUUAGAUCCUACAAUCUUGCUGAACUUAUUAGUUCUAAUAGUAUUUUUAUGGAGUCCUUAGGACUUUUUAUAUACAAAAAACGUGUUAUCUUCAAAUGGAGAUAAUUUUACUUCCUCCUUUUCAACCUAGUUGCUCUUUAUUUCAUUUUCUUGCCUAAUUGUCUUACUAGAUUGUUCAGUAUAUUGUUGAAUGGAAGUGGUGAGAUUGAGCAUCCUGUCUUGUUCCUGAUUUUAGGGGAAGUAGUUGGUCUUUCCAUAAUGUUAGCUCUGGACUUAGGUUCCCUUUAUCAUGUUAAGGAAGCUACUUUGUAUUUCCAUUACAUUGAGUGUUUUGGGUUUUGUCAGGUACUUUUUUUUUUUUUUAUACGGUUAUGCUUUUUAUCCUUUAUUUUGUUAAUAUGAGGUAUUAUAUUGUUUUUCAGCUAUUCAACCAAUCUUCCUUUCCUGGUAUUCUUCUUUUUUAUAAGAUAAUACCUUUUUGAUAUUGUGCUGGGUUUAGUUUGAGAUUUUUGUGUCAAUAUUUACAAGAUAUAUUAAUCUAUAGUUUUCUCAUUAUACAUUUUUCUUGUUUUGUUAUCAGGGUAGAACUGGCAUCAUACAAUAAGUGGGGAAGUGUUUUCUCACUUUCUAGUUUUUAGAAGUUUAUCAAGGAUCGGCAUUAAUUCUAUUUUAAUACUAAUGGCAUUUUAAUUUUAAUUUUUGUCUUUUAGGAUUCUCCUUUUACAAAUGCAGGAAUGGGAUCUAACCUAAAUCUCUUAGGGGAAAUUGAGUGUGAUGCCAGCAUAAUGGAUGGAAAAUCCUUAAAUUUUGGAGCAGUUGG